rnacentral:rRNA from 1 species
GACGAACGCUGGCGGCGUGCCUAAUACAUGCAAGUCGAGCGGACCAAAGGGAACUUGCUCCUGGAGGUUAGCGGCGAACGGGUGAGUAACACGUGGGCAACCUGCCUGUAAGACUGGGAUAACAUCGAGAAAUCGGUGCUAAUACCGGAUAAUAAAAGAACUGCAUGGUUCUUUUUGAAAGAUGGUUUCGGCUAUCACUUACAGAUGGGCCGCGGCGCAUUAGCUAGUUGGUGAGGUAACGGCUCACCAAGGCGACGAUGCGUAGCCGACCUGAGAGGGUGAUCGGCCACACUGGGACUGAGACACGGCCCAGACUCCUACGGGAGGCAGCAGUAGGGAAUCUUCCGCAAUGGACGAAAGUCUGACGGAGCAACGCCGCGUGAGUGAUGAAGGUUUUCGGAUCGUAAAACUCUGUUGUUAGGGAAGAACAAGUGCCGUUCGAAAGGGCGGCACCUUGACGGUACCUAACGAGAAAGCCACGGCUAACUACGUGCCAGCAGCCGCGGU